CAAGACUGCUGUUGAGGGACCCGGGAAGCGGCCUCCAGGAAAGAAGUGGGGAGUAAAAGUGGGGAAACGUAUGGUGUUCUUUCACCUGUGAUUUGUUCUGGAAAAAGUUUUUAAGUUUCAGGCUCCAUGUGCGGGGAUUUAAUAUAAUCACCCAUCUUCCUUACAGGUAUAUCAUAUCUCCUGGCGCCUUCGUAUAUUUAUUGCUCCUCUGGGAAGAUGGAAAGUUUUUAAGAUGGGAAGCAUGGAAAAAUAUGUAUUCAUUGAGAACCGGAUAUGGUUCUGCUCCUUCUAAAUUGAGGUGGUGUCCCAGGAUUCAGCUGAGUUUGCAGCUACCAAGGCAGUCAUUGACUAUGUUAACCUGUGUGUGUGUUCCCAGAAGCUUUGAAUACGAGCAUUUGAGUAUUGGGUUAACAUCAUUCGAGAAUGCAUUGGUCGGAAGGCUUUGUUUUUGUUGAACUGCAAAUCCCAAUUUUUGUCUGCUGAAAACACAGUGAUAUAGAAAAGUCUCUGGAUCUUUUAGGCGGUCAGAGAGAAUUAGGGAAGCAGUUCUGUGAAUUCCAGGUGUGAUUAAGGGUUUCAUACUCCAACGAUGUCUGUAACUUGUUUCAUAGAGUAUAUGUCACUACCAGUGUAAUUCCUUUGUAGUUGAGAUUCUGUAAGUACAAUACUGAAGCAAAACAAAAUUAAUAGUGCUUCUUAUCAGCACUUUUUGUUGGUGGCCAAUACAAUAUCCUGUUUGAAAAUUAAUUUUAACAGUUUGCUGUAGAAUAUAUAUGACAGAUUUUUUUUUUUUUAUUGUUAGUACCUUCCCUUUGUUAUUUUCAUAAGUGGACUUUGGUAUGUGUUUAAAAAGGUGGACCUUGAUGAGACCAAGAUGUUGAGAUGGGAAAUGGUAAUAGUUGACAAAACUUGUUUUGUAGACUCCCCACAUCAGUUUAAUUGACAGAAUUUCAGAAUAUUUGAUGAUUAUCCCAGGAAAAAAGAUUUGGUUCAUAUGAUGACAGUCACUGGACAAUCAAAAGCCUUCAUCAGAGAAUUUAGAAAGAAGAAAAAAAAAAAAACCAAAAAAGAAAUUAGCAAGAGAUAUUGUAAUACCAAUCUAUUUUUGACUUAAGGCAUUAUCUUUUGAUAUUUAAGGUGGAAAAGUAAAUUAGUCUUAUUUAUGCCAGUUACGGUAUAAGAAUGUUGAAUAUUCCUUUUAUACUAUUCCAUAGAGUUCAGUUUUUUUGUGUAAUUUUAUUCUGGCUUAUGUCUGUGCAUUGCAGAUAUUUUUGGAGGGGGUUAUGGCUUUAUUAAAAAUUCCAAUUUUACCCUGAGGGACCAGAUUACUGGGCUGAGGACUGUGGGGACCAUGAUCUCCAGGAACAUCUAGCUCAAUUGGCAUAACAUAGUUUACAAAGAAAAUGUACUACAUUCUACUUUGGUGAGUAGCGUCUGGGGUCUUAAAAGCUUAUGAGCGGCCAUCUAAGAUGCUAGAUUGAUCUCAUCCCAUCUGGAGCAAGGGAGAAUGAAGAAAACCAAAGACGCAAGGGAAAGAUUAGUCCAAAGAACUGGUAGACUACAACUACCAUAACCUCCACCAGACUGAGUCCAGUACAACUAGAUGGUGCCCAGCUACCACCACUGACUGCUCUUACGGGGAGCACAAGAGAGGAUCCUGAACAGAGCUGGAGAACAAUGUAGGAUAAAAUUCAAACUCACAAAACAAAACAAAACAAAACAAAAAACCAGACUUACUGGUCUGACAGAGACUGGAGAAACCCUGAGAAUAUGGCUCCCGGACACCGUUGUAAUUCAGUACUGAAGUCACUCCUGAGGUUCAUCCUUCAGCCAAAGGUUAGACUGGACCGUAAAACAAAAUGAGACUAAGUGGGCACACCAGCCCAGGGGCAGGGACAAGGCAGGAGGGGACAGGAAAGCUGGUAAUGAGGAACCCAAGGUCUAGAAGGGGAGAGUGUUGAGAUGUUGUGAGUUUGGCAACCAGUGUCACAAAACAAUACGUGUAUUAAUUGUUUAAUGAGAAGCUAGUUUGCUCUGUAAACCUGUCUAAAGUACAAUGAAAAAAAGAAAAUACAAAACUCAAUUGUAUUUCUGUAUAAGCAGUAAACAAUAGAAAACUGAAAUUUAAAAGAUAAUACUAGUUACAAUAGCAUCAAAAAACAUAAGAUUCCCAGGAAUAAAUCUAAGCAAAUGAGGUACAAGACCUCUAUGUUGAAAACUACUAAACAUUACUAAGAGAAAUUAAAGACCUAAAUGAAUAUGGAGAUAUGUCAUAUUUAUGGAUUGGAAGACUCAGUAUUGUUAAAAUGUCAGUUUUCCCCAAACUAAUCUCUAGAUUCAAAAGACCCCCAACUGUGUAGGCAGAAUAAUGGCCCCUGAAAGAUGCUCUGAACCUAAAAUCCUUGAAACCUGUGAGUGUAUUUUGCCACAGUCUAAGAGGGAAUUAAAGUUGCAGGUGGAUUAAGAUUGCUAAUCAGACGACCUUAAAAUAGGAAGAUUAUCCUUAAUUAUCCAGUGUAAUCACAAGAAUUCUUAAAAGAUGGAAAUGGGGACAAAAGAGUCAGUGUCAGAGUGAUGUGAUGUGGGAAAUUCUCAACCAAUCAUUGCUUACUUGAAAAUGGAGGCCCAUAGCCAAGUAAAAGGCAAUAAAAUAGAUUUUCCUCUACAAUCUCCAGAAACGAAUGCAGCCCUACUGACACCUUUGUUUUAGCCCAGUGAUGCCUGUUGUGGACUUUUGACCUCCAAAACUGUCAAAUAAUAAAUUUGUGUUUUAAGUCAUAAAAAAAAAUUCUGGUCUUACAGCACUACUUGCACAUCAUCAGGCCUUUUUGAAAAAAAUCAGUUAAGUAUUAAGUACCUAGUAUGUGCUCAAGACUGUGGUUGUAAUAAACCAUGUAACUUUUCAUACCAAAGAAAUCUAGCUUUAUGCCUAUUCUGCAACUUAAUUGAAGUAGGCAUAUUUAGGCCAUUGUAGUUCUAAAUUAUUUUUAAUAAGCAUGAAUGAGUACUUAGGAAAAAUUGUGAGAAAUCCAUUGUAUGAGAUUUUCAUCAUUAUGUAUUUAGAAUAAAAUAAUAUUUGUAUAACUGUAUAUAUGACAUUUUUUCAUAUUCUCAAAGAUAUCCUCCAUUUCUAGUAUUUUUUUAAAAUUUGCCAUUAAGAAGUACAAAUUUCCCUCUUUUUUUUUUUUAAUCUUAGCUAUCAGCUGAAAUUCACUGGAGGCAAUACAGUGUAGUGGUUAAGCCUGCAAAUUCUGAAAUUAGUCAAGGUUUGCGUUGGAACCCUGAGUCUGCCACUUAUUAGCAUGUGACUUUAAAAAGGUGGUAUCAUGGAAAACUUGAUAGAACUAUAGCAGAAGAACGCCUCAGGCAGGCAGGGAAGCCUGGCAGUUACCUUAUAAGAGAGAGUGAUCGGAGGCCAGGGUCCUUUGUACUUUCAUUUCUUAGCCAAACAAAUGUCGUCAACCAUUUUAGGAUUAUUGCCAUGUGUGGAGAUUACUACAUUGGUGGAAGACGCUUUUCUUCACUGUCAGACCUAAUAGGUUAUUAUAGUCAUGUUUCUUGUUUACUUAAAGGAGAAAAAUUACUUUAUCCAGUUGCACCACCAGAGGCAAUAGAAGAUAGAAGGCGUGUGCGAGCCAUUCUACCUUACACAAAAGUACCAGACACUGAUGAAAUAAGCUUCUUAAAAGGUGAUAUGUUUAUCGUCCAUAAUGAAUUAGAAGAUGGAUGGAUGUGGGUUACAAAUCUAAGAACAGAUGAACAAGGCCUUAUUGUUGAAGACCUAGUAGAAGAAGUGGGCCGGGAAGAAGAUCCACAUGAAGGCAAAAUAUGGUUCCAUGGGAAGAUUUCCAAACAAGAAGCUUAUAAUUUACUAAUGACAGUUGGCCAGGUCUGCAGUUUUCUUGUGAGGCCUUCAGAUAAUACUCCUGGUGACUAUUCGCUUUAUUUUCGGACCAAUGAAAAUAUUCAGCGAUUUAAAAUAUGUCCAACACCAAACAAUCAGUUUAUGAUGGGAGGCCGAUAUUAUAACAGCAUUGGGGACAUCAUAGAUCACUAUCGAAAAGAACAGAUUGUUGAAGGAUAUUAUCUUAAGGAACCUGUGCCAAUGCAGGAUCAAGAACAAGUACUCAGUGAUGCAGUAGAUGGCAAGGAAAUCUAUAAUACAAUUCGUCGUAAAACAAAGGAUGCCUUUUAUAAAAAUAUUGUUAAAAAAGGUUAUCUUCUAAAAAAGGGCAAAGGAAAACGGUGGAAAAAUUUAUAUUUUAUCUUAGAGGGCAGUGAUGCCCAACUUAUUUAUUUUGAAAGUGAAAAACGAGCUACAAAACCAAAAGGAUUAAUAGAUCUCAGUGUAUGUUCUGUCUAUGUUGUUCACGAUAGUCUUUUUGGCAGGCCAAACUGUUUUCAGAUAGUAGUUCAGCACUUUAGUGAAGAACAUUACAUCUUUUACUUUGCAGGAGAAACUCCAGAACAAGCAGAGGACUGGAUGAAAGGUCUGCAGGCAUUUUGUAAUUUACGGAAAAGUAGUCCAGGGACAUCUAAUAAACGCCUGCGUCAGGUCAGCAGUCUUGUUUUACACAUUGAAGAAGCACAUAAACUCCCAGUAAAACAUUUUACUAACCCAUAUUGUAACAUCUACCUGAAUAGCGUCCAGGUAGCAAAAACUCAUGCAAGAGAAGGGCAAAACCCUGUUUGGUCAGAAGAGUUUGUCUUUGAUGAUCUUCCUCCUGACAUCAACAGAUUUGAAAUAACUCUUAGUAAUAAAACAAAGAAAAGCAAGGAUCCUGAUAUCCUAUUUAUGCGUUGCCAGUUGAGUCGAUUACAGAAAGGGCAUGCCACAGAUGAAUGGUUUCUGCUCAGCUCCCACAUACCGUUAAAAGGUAUUGAACCAGGAUCCUUGCGUGUCCGAGCACGAUAUUCUAUGGAAAAAAUCAUGCCAGAAGAAGAGUACAGUGAAUUUAAAGAGCUUAUACUGCAAAAGGAACUUCAUGUAGUAUAUGCUUUAUCACAUGUAUGUGGACAAGACCGAACACUACUGGCUAGCAUCCUACUGAGGAUUUUUCUUCAUGAAAAGCUUGAAUCAUUGUUGCUGUGUACACUAAAUGACAGAGAAAUAAGCAUGGAAGAUGAAGCUACUACCCUAUUUCGAGCCACAACACUUGCAAGCACCUUGAUGGAGCAGUAUAUGAAAGCCACUGCUACACAGUUUGUUCAUCAUGCUUUGAAAGACUCUAUUUUAAAAAUAAUGGAAAGCAAGCAGUCUUGUGAGUUAAGUCCAUCAAAGUUAGAAAAAAAUGAAGAUGUGAACACUAAUUUAGCACACCUAUUGAACAUACUUUCAGAGCUUGUGGAGAAAAUAUUCAUGGCUUCAGAAAUACUUCCACCGACACUGAGAUAUAUUUAUGGGUGUUUACAAAAAUCUGUUCAGCACAAGUGGCCUACAAAUACCACCAUGAGAACCAGAGUUGUUAGUGGUUUUGUUUUUCUUCGACUUAUCUGUCCUGCUAUCCUGAAUCCACGGAUGUUUAAUAUCAUCUCAGAUUCCCCAUCACCUAUUGCUGCAAGAACACUGAUAUUAGUGGCUAAGUCCGUGCAGAAUUUAGCAAAUCUUGUGGAGUUCGGAGCUAAGGAACCCUAUAUGGAAGGAGUAAAUCCAUUCAUCAAAAAUAACAAACAUCGUAUGAUCAUGUUUUUGGAUGAACUUGGGAAUGUACCUGAACUUCCGGACACUACAGAUCAUUCUAGAACUGACCUGUCCCGUGAUUUAGCAGCGUUGCAUGAGAUUUGUGUGGCCCAUUCAGAUGAACUGAGAACACUCAGUAAUGAGCGUGGUGCACAGCAGUGCAUGGCCAUAGUGAUUGGGAAGUUUGAUAAAAAUAUAUAUUCCAAGCCCUACACCCACAGAUUCUGGAGUGCAGCCUUGGAAUCUACAUUUCUAACAAGCUCCUCUAGGGAUUCAGAUGCAAGUGAAUCAUGGCCCACGCAUUGAGAAACCCUGACUACAUUAGUAGACUUUUGCUAUCUAGAACAAGGGAUACAGACUGGAAUAUAUUCAAAGAAGAGGGACCAGGAUUUGAAGGGACUUAAAACCAGCAUGUACUGAAAAAGCUUCUGGCAAUAACGGAACUACUUCAACAAAAACAAAACCAGUAUACAAAAACCAAUGAUGUCAGGUAGCAGCCUUCACCUUAGUGUUCUGCAUGGACUCAGCAUGCCCAACAUGGUAACUCACAUCAGUAUAAUGUCUCCUUUGCUCUUGCCAAAAAACAGCACAUUUUCCACAUUCCCAGUGAUGUGUGAACUAUGCAAACAAAACUGCAGAUUCUGCUGGUGAAUAACUGUGCCAGCAGCUUUGUAAGCUAUCUGUGCAGGAUAUUUGCACUUUUUCCACAUGGAAUCAAUCUUUACCAACGUCUGAGCCUUGGUGUACAGAUAACCUUUCACAACACAAAAUGAUAUGACUGUAUCUUGAACUUUGAAGACCUAUUUUCAAUACAUCCAAUUGCCAAAGUUUGCUGUCUCUUGGAAAAAGAAGUAUGAAAUCAACUGACAAGAAAAAACAUUCUCUUUUGACAAUUGACUAUAACUGGAUUAUAGACUGUUCUUACGUUAACUUCUUCCUGAUUAGGAAUAUGACCGUUUGACUGUUCAAUGACUUUAUUUGUAUUCACAGUUUCCAGAGUUUGCCGUUAUAACAGAAACAAUCUUUGCUGUAUACUUUUUUAAAAUACUGUGCGAUUUUGCUUGCUGGAACUGUUGAAAGAAGAUAUAUAGGAUGGAUCUAUUGCUUUAUUUUUUAAACAUACCACUUUAUUUUGUUGGGAUUGUCAGAGACUAUCUAGAUCUCAUAAUGCUUUUGUUAAAUGUUUACAACAGUAAAUACUUUGAAUUCAGUAAAUACUAUUGAUCAUUGUACUGAUCAAUGCAUGUACCCAUUCAACCAUUUUAUAGAUUACCAAUUUCUAUGUAAAACAAACAUACAAAAAACUAGAAUGCUUUUAUUCAAAGUAUUCAUUCAUUAAUUCCAAGUUGGUUUUUUGUACCCCUUUGAUUAUGUAAACAACUUCACCAGCCACUUACAGCUUCCCCAUCUUUAAACUUCUGACUACUUGUAUCUGCUGGAUAUUUAGUUUGUAUAGUUUUAUUUGCUUCUGUAUGUGUAUUUUUGUGUAAUAUUCACAAGGGUUAAGUUAAAAUAAAACCAAGGGAUAUCUUGCAUAGUUAAUUACUUCCGUCUACAUAUAGCUAAGCAUUUACUCUUAUUAUUUCUUACCUUCUUUAGGGGCAGUUCAGACUUUAGCACCAGAGCAAAGCUCAGGUUAAUACAUGAAACUUCAGAUCAGUGUUUUUGCUAAUAGGUCAUUUUUGAAAAAGAUUCCAUUUACUUGUUCAAUAUAUAUUUGUUAACUCAUUCCCUCCCAUAAUUGUGCAGGGGAGACAAGGCAUACAAAAGUAUAUGGCAGAAUAUCAUUAGUAAUCAAAGUGGGUAAGACAGGAACAAAGGGGGGAGCAUUAGGAAAAGCGUUUCCCACUGUAAUGAAGUAUUUUCUAAAGACCUACAUUCCAAGCAAGAACAGUGCAUUUUCUGGUCCUCUGGUGUGUAAAAUGCAGGAAAAAACACAAAGUGUUAACUAGUCAAGAGGUUUAAAAGAUUUUUGUUUAAUAUAGUUUUAUGCUAUAAAAGGCAGUUAUUUCGAUUGAGGGAGCUAGCCCUGAUAUAGCUUCAACUGUGACAGUUCAAUAGUGAUACCUAAACUCAAAACACAUCUAUGGCUGCACUCCCAUGACGUCAAUUCAUUUCAUUCUCCCCCUUCUCAUCUCUAUAUCGUAUUAUUUUCUCUUCCUCUUUUCCAACACUCCUGCUUUUCAACUGAACUACCACACUCGUAUCCUAAUUGGUUUCCUUCCCUAAUGUUAUAGGAGAGAGAACGGAUGGGAUGGGAUACAGACUACUGCCAUUUCCUAAAAUGUCAACAGUAUGCAAAACGGUCUGAUCACUGUUGUUAGGUGCUGUCAGGUCGGUUCCGACUCACAGCGACCUGAUGCACAACAGAACGAAACACUGCCUGGUCCUGAGCCAUUCUCACGAUCAUUGGUGUGCUUGAGCUCAUUGUUGCAGCCACUGGGUCAGUCCAUCUCGUUGAGGGUCUUGCUCUUUUCUGCUGACCCUGUACUCUGCCGAGCACAAUGUCCUUCUCCAGGGACUGAUCCCUCCUGACAACAUGUCCAAAGUAUGUAAGACGCAGUCUCGCCAUCCUUCUAAGGAGCAUUCUGGUUGUACUUCUUCUAAGACAGAUUUGUUCGUUAUUUUGGCAGUCAGUGGUGUAUUCAGUAUUCCUUGCCAACACCACAAUUCAAAGGCGUCAGUUCUUCGGUCUUCCUUAUUCAUUGUCCAGCUUUCACGUGCAUACGAUGUGAUUGAAAAGACCAUGGCGUGGGUCAGGCGCACCUUAGUCUUCAAGGUGACACCUUUGCUCUUCAACAUUUUAAAGAGGUCCUCUGCAGCAGAUUUGCCCAGUGCAAUGCGUCUUUUGAUUUCUUGACUGCUGCUUCCAUGGCUGUUGAUUGUGGAUCCAAGUAAAAUGAAAUCCUUGACAACUUCAGUCUUGUCUCCGUUUAUCAUGAUGUUGCUCAUUGGUCCAGUUGUGAGGAUUUUUGUUUUAUGUUGAGGUGCAAUCCAUACUGAAGGCUGUGGUCUUUGAUUUUCAUUAGUAAGUGCUUCAAGUCCUUUUCACUUUCAGCAAGCAAGGUUGUGUCAUCUGCAUAAUGCAGGUUGUUAAUGAGUCUUCCUCCAAUCCUGAUGCCCAUUCUUCUUCAUGUAGUGCAGCUUCUCGUAUUAUUUGCUCCACAUACAGACUGAAUAGGUAUGGUGAAAGAGUACAACCCUGAUGUACACCUUUCCUGACUUUAAGCCAAUCAGUAUCCCCUUGUUCUGUCCAAACAACUGCCUCUUGAUCUAUGUAAAGGUUCCUCAUGAGCACGAUUAAGUGUUCGGGAAUUCCCAUUCUUCGCAGUGUUAUCCGUAAUUUGUUAUGAUCCACACAGUCGAAUGCCUUUGCAUAGUCAAUAAAACACAGGUAAACAUCCUUCUGGUAUUCUCUGCUUUCAGCCAGGAUCCAUCUAACAUCAGCAAUGAUAUCCCUGAUUCCAGGUCCUCUUCUGAAACCGGCCUGAAUUUCUGGCAGUUCCCUGUCAAUAUACUGCUGCAGCUGUUUUUGAAUGAUCUUCAGCAAACUCUAGUGCUAGGCAAUUUUUCUCUCCCACUAAUCACAUCCCAUCCUCCAGCCAUUCUGACUUACCUGCUACCCCAUGAUCUUGCCUAAAAUAUUAAUACAGUCUCAGCUCAAACUGUCCUCACCAUCUAAAUGUUGCUGCUUCCCCUUGUACCUUUUAUAAGAAAAUACAAACCUGAAAGACUUACCCUGCUUUUUACAUUUUAAUCACGUUUGUCUCUUAAACUGGAACGGAAACUUGACACUUGGCGUCGUAGGCCCUAUAGUAACUAGCUGGUCAGUGUUGAAAUAAAACCUUGCACAAACACUAUAAUUUUUUUAAUGGGGCAGGGUGGGAAAUUUUUCAGAGAUAAAUGUGGAUCUUGUUCUGGAACCAAUGUUUGAUGAUCUGAAAGGGCAACAGGAGAUAAACUGUGAAUGUUCUGCAACUCUGUUUAGGGCCUAGCAACAGUGCUACUUACGGUGGACUACAUCAGAAUUAUGAACUUCAGCUUCUCUCACUCCACUUUUGAGAAAUCCCACUUCAUGUAAUUUUAUUCCUCUCAUCUCAGAGUGAAAAGGAAAAAGAAAACCAAAAGACCUCAAGCAUAGAAUGUAAAAGGUUGUUAAAAGCAUAUGCAGAGAGUAAACACAGCCCUCAUAUACUAAGGUCUUAUUAAAAUGGUACCUACACUUAUGGAAAGUGCAGCCUGAGAUGCUUUGGGACUGAAGAGGUGUAUAUAUCCAAGCUGAGUCUCCAUAAAAUUUAAGGGCAGUUGAGUUUCUCAGAAUUCUUUGAACUCAGUUCCCCCCCGCACCCCCUCCCCCCAAAAUUAGUCUAAUAUAACGUCAUCCACAGUUUGGUUCCAAUUUAGAAAGUGAGUAAUAAGAUCACUAUUAAAUUGAAUAAAUGCGUAUCAUAGCUCACAUUUAUUGAGUACUUACCAUAUGCAGGGAUUAUUCUGUGAGGAGUAGGUAUUUUCUCCAUUUUCAACUUGGGAAAUGGGUACAGAGAGGUUUACUAAGUUGCCCAAGGUCACACAGUGAGGUAGAAACUGUAAUAAUUUAACACCCAAGUAAUUUGGUACAUUUUUAUAUCAACUAAUUUUAAAUGUCCUGAAGAUAUUUUUAAAAAAACACCUAGCAAUCAUAACGAUUUAUAUGGCUUUACAUACAGGUAAUCUAACAGGUUAAUUAUAAAAAUGAAUCUGCUACUGUCUGCUUUCCAAUAGCAACUUAAGAUUUUCAGCUAGACACAGCUGGCUAUUCAAAGACUGCAUAUUUCUCCUACCCAUUUGGAAAUGUUUUCAGAUAACUGAGGAAAACAAACAUUUAUUACCCAAGAUGACUAGCUUUUAGUGCCAUGUAACAGCUAAAGUAUGUUCUAGAGUCCAGUAGUAACACACAUAGCUAAGUAUAUCAGGAUGGCAUGAGAAACUGUCUAUAAAGGUAUCUUGAGGGCAAAAAGCAUUUCAGAAAGCUGACUUCUAAUUUUUGAUUUCUGUCCGUGCGGUUUUUCAAAAAGGAUAGGAUUACUGAUCAUGUUUUGUUUCAACUAUAGGCAAAUACACUGCAACUUAAACCUGCUACCAUAGAAAGACUCAUUUGAUCCUAGUUGUGGUAGGGGCAAGACUAUCCAAACCAUAUGCUAUUAUGGCUCCCUUCAAGGCAUUUUAUUUCACAUAAAGCUACUCUAAAAGGAACAUUUUUUAAAUUACCAGAAACUUAAAAAGUUUAAUAUAUUUUAAUGUUUUCACACUCUACUUUUAAAAUAAAGUUGUAUUUCAGAUAUGCUUCCUUCUUCUCUUGAUUAGUUAGCAUUGAAUUGUCAACUUCAAAUGGUUACAGAGAAUCUACCAGGUCAUCGUCAGUCCAUUCUUCCUAAGAAGGGGGAAAAAAUAUGGUAAGAAUAACAUUUAUACUGAAGCAUAACCAGUAUUUUUUACCUCCUUGCCUCAGUUUUAGGAAAAUGUUCUCCUUUUACUAUGCUGAUUACAGAAGGUAGAUAAACUAGGAAAAUUUGUAUUAGUUCAAUCUUACAGUAAUAUUGCUAUUAUUCUACCAUCCUACUCCAAUGAGGAACAAAGGUUACAGCUGUAAUCUGGCUCCUCCUGAUUAUUUCUCUCUUAACUCAGCAGAUACAAUUAACAAAAACAAAAAAAUGUGGGUGGGACAAAUACUUGGAAAGUUGGAAGUAGAGCAUGUAGGAGUAUUCCUGCUGCCUUCUACGAACACUGGAAAGGAUUCUUCAUCAAGUAGAAGGCAGUGUACGUAAAGAAGGGUGCGAGAGAUGAAGGCUUAAAAAAGCCAUGUUGUUGUUACCAUUGAGUCAGUUCUGACUCAAUGACAAUCCAGUGUGCAGAGUAGAACUGCAGUUCAUUGUUUUCAAGGCUGUGACCUUUCAGAGGCCUUACUUCUGAGGUGUCUCUGAGUUUGAACUGCCAACGUAUCAGUAUUCUAGCGCUUGACCAUUUGCGCCACCCAGGAACUCCUUAAAAAACCUCUACCUCUACGUAUGUACUCUGGAACAAUGAACCUUAACAGUAUGGUUACAUCAUAAUGCGCAACCAAAAUAAAAAUUCAGCUUUGCAGUAAACAUACCUCCUCAUGUUUGGAUUUCUUUGAGACAUAAUCAUCAUCUUCAUAGCCUUUUCUCUUCUUCCUGUAAUCAUGCAACCAUCAAUAAUCAAUCCAAUAUUGGCAAUAAAAAGUAUAAAAUAUCUAGUAGUAAACUAAGAAGGCUACGUGAGAAAUUAUCUGUUGAAGGACAAAGACUAUGUAAUGGAAAAAGAUGCAGUUUAUGGAUAGGAAAUUUAGUAUUCUUCAAAUCUGUAUGCCCAAUGCAAUGCUAAUUAAAAUCCCAGUGCAAAAGUAAAAAAAAAAAAAACUCAAAAAAAAAAAAAAA